rnacentral:siRNA from 1 species
AGGAGCCAUAGAUAACCUCCUU